rnacentral:rRNA from 1 species
GGGUUGUGAGGUUAAGCGACUAAGCGUACACGGUGGAUGCCCUGGCAGUCAGAGGCGAUGAAGGGCGUGCUAAUCUGCGAUAAGCGCCGGUAAGGUGAUAUGAACCGUUAUAACCGGCGAUACCCGAAUGGGGAAACCCAGUGUGAUUCGUCACACUAUCAUUAACUGAAUCCAUAGGUUAAUGAGGCGAACCGGGGGAACUGAAACAUCUAAGUACCCCGAGGAAAAGAAAUCAACCGAGAUUCCCCCAGUAGCGGCGAGCGAACGGGGAGGAGCCCAGAGCCUGAAUCAGCAUGUGUGUUAGUGGAAGCGUCUGGAAAGGCGCGCGAUACAGGGUGACAGCCCCGUACACAAAAGCGCAUGUGCUGUGAGCUCGAUGAGUAGGGCGGGACACGUGGUAUCCUGUCUGAAUAUGGGGGGACCAUCCUCCAAGGCUAAAUACUCCUGACUGACCGAUAGUGAACCAGUACCGUGAGGGAAAGGCGAAAAGAACCCCGGCGAGGGGAGUGAAAAAGAACCUGAAACCGUGUACGUACAAGCAGUGGGAGCCCCACCACCAAAGCAUUCUCUGGUGUUGAAGGCCCUGCAAAGCAGCAUCGCGGUGGCGGAGCGUCGUUUGCGACGCCCAACACACAAAACAAGCGGUGAAUGCUUUGGGGUGGGGUGACUGCGUACCUUUUGUAUAAUGGGUCAGCGACUUAUAUUCUGUAGCAAGGUUAACCGAAUAGGGGAGCCGGAGGGAAACCGAGUCUUAAUUGGGCGUUAAGUUGCAGGGUAUAGACCCGAAACCCGGUGAUCUAGCCAUGGGCAGGUUGAAGGUUGGGUAACACUAACUGGAGGACCGAACCGACUAAUGUUGAAAAAUUAGCGGAUGACCUGUGGCUGGGGGUGAAAGGCCAAUCAAACCGGGAGAUAGCUGGUUCUCCCCGAAAGCUAUUUAGGUAGCGCCUCGUGAAUUCAUCUCCGGGGGUAGAGCACUGUUUCGGCUAGGGGGCCAUCCCGGCUUACCAACCCGAUGCAAACUGCGAAUACCGGAGAAUGUUAUCACGGGAGACACACGGCGGGUGCUAACGUCCGUCGUGAAGAGGGAAACAACCCAGACCGCCAGCUAAGGUCCCAAAGUCAUGGUUAAGUGGGAAACGAUGUGGGAAGGCCCAGACAGCCAGGAUGUUGGCUUAGAAGCAGCCAUCAUUUAAAGAAAGCGUAAUAGCUCACUGGUCGAGUCGGCCUGCGCGGAAGAUGUAACGGGGCUAAACCAUGCACCGAAGCUGCGGCAGCGACGCUGAUGCGUUGUUGGGUAGGGGAGCGUUCUGUAAGCCUGUGAAGGUGUGUCGUGAGGCAUGCUGGAGGUAUCAGAAGUGCGAAUGCUGACAUAAGUAACGAUAAAGCGGGUGAAAAGCCCGCUCGCCGGAAGACCAAGGGUUCCUGUCCAACGUUAAUCGGGGCAGGGUGAGUCGACCCCUAAGGCGAGGCCGAAAGGCGUAGUCGAUGGGAAACGGGUUAAUAUUCCCGUACUUGGUGUUACUGCGAAGGGGGGACGGAGAAGGCUAUGUUGGCCGGGCGACGGUUGUCCCGGUUUAAGCGUGUAGGUGUGUGUUCCAGGUAAAUCCGGUUCACUUUAACACUGAGGCGUGACGACGAGGCACUACGGUGCUGAAGCAACAAAUGCCCUGCUUCCAGGAAAAGCCUCUAAGCAUCAGGUAACACGAAAUCGUACCCCAAACCGACACAGGUGGUCAGGUAGAGAAUACCAAGGCGCUUGAGAGAACUCGGGUGAAGGAACUAGGCAAAAUGGUGCCGUAACUUCGGGAGAAGGCACGCUGACACGUAGGUGAAGUGAUUUACUCAUGGAGCUGAAGUCAGUCGAAGAUACCAGCUGGCUGCAACUGUUUAUUAAAAACACAGCACUGUGCAAACACGAAAGUGGACGUAUACGGUGUGACGCCUGCCCGGUGCCGGAAGGUUAAUUGAUGGGGUCAGCGUAAGCGAAGCUCCUGAUCGAAGCCCCGGUAAACGGCGGCCGUAACUAUAACGGUCCUAAGGUAGCGAAAUUCCUUGUCGGGUAAGUUCCGACCUGCACGAAUGGCGUAAUGAUGGCCAGGCUGUCUCCACCCGAGACUCAGUGAAAUUGAACUCGCUGUGAAGAUGCAGUGUACCCGCGGCAAGACGGAAAGACCCCGUGAACCUUUACUAUAGCUUGACACUGAACAUUGAGCCUUGAUGUGUAGGAUAGGUGGGAGGCUUUGAAGUGUGGACGCCAGUCUGCAUGGAGCCGACCUUGAAAUACCACCCUUUAAUGUUUGAUGUUCUAACGUGGACCCGUAAUCCGGGUUGCGGACAGUGUCUGGUGGGUAGUUUGACUGGGGCGGUCUCCUCCUAAAGAGUAACGGAGGAGCACGAAGGUUGGCUAAUCCUGGUCGGACAUCAGGAGGUUAGUGCAAUGGCAUAAGCCAGCUUGACUGCGAGCGUGACGGCGCGAGCAGGUGCGAAAGCAGGUCAUAGUGAUCCGGUGGUUCUGAAUGGAAGGGCCAUCGCUCAACGGAUAAAAGGUACUCCGGGGAUAACAGGCUGAUACCGCCCAAGAGUUCAUAUCGACGGCGGUGUUUGGCACCUCGAUGUCGGCUCAUCACAUCCUGGGGCUGAAGUAGGUCCCAAGGGUAUGGCUGUUCGCCAUUUAAAGUGGUACGCGAGCUGGGUUUAGAACGUCGUGAGACAGUUCGGUCCCUAUCUGCCGUGGGCGCUGGAGAACUGAGGGGGGCUGCUCCUAGUACGAGAGGACCGGAGUGGACGCAUCACUGGUGUUCGGGUUGUCAUGCCAAUGGCACUGCCCGGUAGCUAAAUGCGGAAGAGAUAAGUGCUGAAAGCAUCUAAGCACGAAACUUGCCCCGAGAUGAGUUCUCCCUGAGACUUAGAGUCUCCUGAAGGAACGUUGAAGACGACGACGUUGAUAGGCCGGGUGUGUAAGCGCAGCGAUGCGUUGAGCUAACCGGUACUAAUGAACCGUGAGGCUUAACCUUACAACGCCGAAG